rnacentral:rRNA from 1 species
GUGGGGAAUCUUCCGCAAUGGACGAAAGUCUGACGGAGCAACGCUGCGUGAGUGAUGACGGUCUUCGGAUUGUAAAGCUCUGUUAAUCGGGACGAAAGAGCUCUGUGUGAAUAAUGCAGAGAAGUGACGGUACCGGAAUAGAAAGCCACGGCUAACUACGUGCCAGCAGCCGCGGUAAUACGUAGGUGGCAAGCGUUGUCCGGAAUUAUUGGGCGUAAAGCGCGCGCAGGCGGGUUUUUAAGUCUGUCUUAAAAGUUCGUGGCUUAACCCCGUGAGGGGAUGGAAACUGGAAACCUAGAGUAUCGGAGAGGAAAGCGGAAUUCCUAGUGUAGCGGUGAAAUGCGUAGAUAUUAGGAAGAACACCAGUGGCGAAGGCGACUUUCUGGACGAAAACUGACGCUGAGGCGCGAAAGCCAGGGGAGCGAACGGGAUUAGAAACCCUUGUAGUCC